rnacentral:rRNA from 1 species
UACAGAGGGGGCGAGCGUUGUUCGGAAUUACUGGGCGUAAAGGGCGCGUAGGCGGCCAACUAAGUCAGACGUGAAAUCCCUCGGCUCAACCGGGGAACUGCGUCUGAUACUGGAUGGCUUGAGUUCGGGAGAGGGAUGCGGAAUUCCAGGUGUAGCGGUGAAAUGCGUAGAUAUCUGGAGGAACACCGGUGGCGAAGGCGGCAUCCUGGACCGACACUGACGCUGAGGAGCGAAAGCCAGGGGAGCAAACGGG